rnacentral:rRNA from 1 species
AUGCAAUGCAACGCAACAGCCACAUGCAGAUGGAGCCGACAGUUUGACCUCGCCUCGGGCCGUAGUGGUAGCAUCACCUGUAUAGAUUAUUGUAGCGAGUCUGAUUUAGCAAGCAAGCAAGCAACGCGGUGGAGAAAUUUUUUUGAAUCGAGCCGCCACCCAGAUCGCAGCAACCAGCUCGCCAUUUGUACUUUUUUACUACUCGUAUCAGAUUGGAGGAGAGAAGGGGACAUAGGCCAGGUGGGCCGGUACCUUCAUCACAUGGUCGACCAUGAGCUCUGCAGGCAGCACACUGCAGAACCCAGAUGUGGGCGACGUUCCCCAUCUCGAGACAGACGUGACAUCAUCGGGGUCACGAGGGAUCAGUGCAAAGGUGGCCGGCCUUGUUGGCUACUGCUUGUCCGUCAGGUCAGGUCAGGUGGUGCCAAAUUGCCAGUUAGCACGCGCAGCUGCACUGUGGGAGCUUCAGUCGCGCAUGUGUCUACUUGCAAAAAGGAAGAACCAUAUGUGUCCUCCGGCUCUAGCUAG